rnacentral:lncRNA from 1 species
CUUGGCUGGAACAGAGGCAGGACUCAGACGUUUCUGGCGAGUGGAAUCAGGCUUCAUAUCCUGAAUUCUCCACGUGAAUUACUUUUUUUUUUUCCCCAACCCCACUUUCUGUAAGAACAGCCUAUUUCUAAAAGCUAGUUCACCAGGCCCAGCUCCUUGUCUCUGGAGCCCACACCUGUCAUAGCCAAAGCCACAGUAGAUGAAUGCUCAGGACACUACUGUUCCCAGGAGGGCACUGCUUGCCAAGGUUUACUGCUCUAAGAAUGUUCUUGGGCUUCAGUCUGGUUCCAUCAGGCCCAGAGAAAACAGCAGCUGUAAAGGCCUGGAGACAAGAAUGACCUCAGGAGUUGGAGAAACAGAAAAGAUGGCAGUUUUACUGGAAUUUAGUGAGUAAAGAGGCAAGUGGAAGGACUUAGAAUUAAAGAAGUGAUCAGGGGGCUAGCCAGAUCAGACAGGCUAGUAGUUUAAACCCUGUCAGAC